UAGGGAAUAUUAGUAAUGGGCGAAAGCCUGAACUAGCAACGCCGCGUGUGCGAAGAAGGCCUUCGGGUUGUAAAGCACUUUUUGAGAGGAUGAGGAAGGACGGUACUCUCAGAAUAAGUCUCGGCUAACUACGUGCCAGCAGCCGCGGUAACACGUAGGAGGCAAACGUUAUCCGGAUUUACUGGGCGUAAAGCGCGUGUAGGUGGUUUGGUAAGUAGGGCGUGAAAGCUCCUGGCUCAACUGGGAGAGGACGCUCUAAACUGCCAAGCUUGAGGAUGGUAGAUGGAGGUGGAAUUCCGGGGUGUAGCGGUGGAAUGCGCAGAUAUCCGGAGGAACACCAGUGGCGAAGGCGGCCUCCUGGACCACUCCUGACACUCGAGACGCAAAGCUAGGGUAGCA
rnacentral:rRNA from 1 species